rnacentral:rRNA from 1 species
UACGGAGGGGACUAGCGUUGUUCGGAAUUACUGGGCGUAAAGCGCACGUAGGCGGAUUUGUAAGUCAGGGGUGAAAUCCCGGGGCUCAACCUCGGAACUGCCUUUGAUACUGCAAAUCUCGAGUCCGGAAGAGGUGAGUGGAAUUCCUAGUGUAGAGGUGAAAUUCGUAGAUAUUAGGAAGAACACCAGUGGCGAAGGCGGCCAACUGGCCCGAUACUGACGCUCAUGUGCGGAAAGCGUGGGAAGCAAACAGGG